CAUCUCUUUUCCUUCCUCAGCUAAAAACCCCCAAAGGCCAUUACAGAAAUCCAAAGCAAACUCGCUCCAAGCUUUUUACGUCGUCCUUUGGAUUCUACAGGGAAGCGCUGCAACAUCAAGAAGAGUCUGCCAGAAGAUGACAGUCGUAAAUGUUAGAAGAUUCCACUGAAUGUAAAAGCUUUAAAGUUACAAACAAAACAGGUAAACCUCAGACAUGUGUGAAGCACUCCUUCUACACGGAUCAAGUAAUACUCCGGCUUUGCCAGCGGGCUAGCCCCAAGGAAUAGUUUGCACCCAAGGGGAUUUGAACAUUUCCAAGACAAUCACAAACAAAACCGACAUGAAUAAGGAUUGAUGUGAAUAGAAAAUAAGCCUAAGGCCUAAGACCCAAUCAAAUUAAAGGCCUGAUCUCACAAGAGCCCCCCAAGGGAGCCUAUAAUAAAGGACCCCUACUCUUAGAAACUCGGGUACGUCUCCUCUCUUAGAAGAAUUCUCACCACCCUUUUUUUCUCUUUGAGGCAAAAAUACUGACUUGACCGUCGGAAGCUCCCCUGUUGGCCACGGGCCAGCGCCACUCCGGUGGUUCUCUUAUUGUUUUGCAGGUGACUCAUAGCCUCGCCUGGACAUGCGAAAUUUGGUAAUGAUUUUCCUCAUUUCUAUAAGCGUACAGCUUGGGCUGGGUUGGUGGUUCCCCUUCUCUCCUUUGGAUAUGUGUUCCUAUGUGACAGAUUUGUUUUCUAUUACAACUCUGCACCCAUUGAUAGCCACUCUCAAACCUCCCUCUCCCUCUGUAUUUCAACCCCCAAAGAAGAGGUCAGUAGGUGCCACUUUGGCUACAGCUUUGAAGAACUUCGACCCAACAAUGGAAUCAAGCUCAGAUCCGCUGCCCACUGCAGCUGUGUAUUUGUGAACACUCGUCGAUGAUUGUAGGUGUCUGCUCAACCAGUUCAAGUGAAAAAGAACACAACAUGAUUGCAUAGAGACAAAAUAAUUAUGAUUUGCUUGUUCUUGAAAAUAUUUUCUCCCCGAGGCAUCGUAGCUUGUGAUUUCUUUCGAACGAGAAGCUUGAACUGCCAUUGCUGACACGCCGUCCCAUCAAGUCGCAGACUAUCAACUUUAUCUCCCUAUGUGCAACCCACGUUGUACUUUGUAGAAUCUCUCUCAUUUUUUCCCAUGUGAAAUCAGCCACUUUAUGGCCUUGCUAUUAAUUUUUGAAUACUUCACAACUCUCUCAUGCAACUUAGUUAUAUGCUGUGGUUGUUGCUUGAGAGAGAUUGAAAGUGAGUCAAAAAAUUUUAGCUCUCACCUGAGGCCAUGCCGCGACACAUAGUCCAAAAAAGAAAAAGGAGAUCACCCCUCCAGGCUAAAAAACAAAAAAGAGAAAGAGAUAUGUCCUCUCUCACAGCAUAAAGAAGGACGAAAAAUAUGAACUUCUAGGUCUUCUUUCUCGAAGAAUCGACUUUGAGGUUUCUCUAUCAGUUUGAAUUCUUGAAUUCUUGUUCUUCUUCACUCUUAAUACUGCUUGGUUCAAUGGCCUCAACACAACCAGAACUGCCCCAACUAGAAAAGAAGACAAGAAUCCCAAGAAGAACAUUCAGGAGGAGAAAUCCAACUCUGAAGAAGAACGCCAUGGAACUCGGCAAAUUGUGCAACAUCCCAGUUUGUGUAGCUUCUUAUAGGCCUGACGGGAGUCUAAAUGUGGCAAAAAAGCCGGAAAGACGUGGAAGCCAUAAUUGACAAGUACAGGAACACUAACAAAGCAUUCAGCUUUUCUCUUGGUUCGUUGAAAUCCAAGAUGUUGAAGCAGUGGGCUGGGCAGAUAACCCAACUUCCUCUGCCCCAACCUGACCAAACAGCUCCACUAGCUGAGAGCGGAACAAUUCACCGCUGAACUACCAAAAUGAGCUGCCAUGUUGACAGGUAGUGUUUGAAUUGCCAAAAUGAGGCAGUCAUGCAGAGCAGAGGACCAACACGUCAGUCCCGUCCGUAGCAGAGGAGUUUGCAAGCACAACCACCUUGGUCCGCACCUACUGCCAGGUAACCGUGGGCAGAGGGCACCCACCUCUACCCAUGUCGAGCAGAGGUCCAGCACCUCUGCCCAAGUCGGGCAGAGGGCCCCCACCUCCUCCCACAUUUGGCAGCAGGCCCUACCUCUGCCCACGCUGAGCAGAGGACCACUACCUUUGCCCUUGACAGUCAGAGGGGCACCACCUCUGCCCGGAUAGGGCAGAGGGCUGCUGUUCCAUGACCAGGUAGGCAUCAACCACCUUGGUUGUGCAACUUCAGAAGAGCCCCAGGCAGAGGGCCCUACCUCUGCCCAUGUUGGACAGAGGACCAGCAUCUCCGCCCUCGUGGGUCAGAGGGCCGUUGUUGCAUGACUGGGCAGGCGUCAACCGCCUGGCCCGUGCAACUUUGAAAGAAGAGCCUCCAGUGUGAGAGUUGUGCCUCUACCCAGCUGGUGAAGGAAUUGCAUGGGAUCAACUGAUACGUUCAAAUUUCCUAGGGCUACGUAGCAGUACCAAAGCCUCAAGGAAGGCGGCAGUGAAGAAACCAGCAGUGAAUAAUGAGUAUAAUCUUCAUAUUUCUUUCCCUUUGUGUUUUAGCUAAUAGGAAAUGUAUUUCCAUUAGUUUAUUUAUUUCCUAGUUAAUUUUUCUGCAUAAUAUAACGACGGCUAGACCUAA